AUUAAAGAGGCGAGUUAAUUAAUGAUCCUUUAAUUAAUUUAAUAGCAGUGCAGCACCAGAGGUCAACAGGCCACCCUGGACGCUGAUUGGUUGAGGAGGAUGUUUAUUUAAACAACUAGAAUCCGGAUUUGAGAACGACGUCUUGCUGGGUGUUGACAGGCUGAGUCCGGAAGCGUCAAUAUGGCUUCGUGAUGCUGUAUUCUUCUCCUCAUUGUCUGAAAUGGUGGAACUGUGUAGCAGACUUGGGCCAACGGAAGUGUAGUACAGUACUGUGCAGUUUGAGGACGUCAUAAAGGUGGACGUUCAUUUCACGAGUGGUGUAGCAGCUUGAGUGGGAAACAAAUGUGUAGAUGAGACAUGGAGUUUUGUUUUACAUAAAAAAAAUAAUACAUUUGUUUGACAAAUAAUGGACUAUCUUUACAUAAUUCUUUUAUUGAUUUACCAUCAUUGUUCUUCAUGAGGUUUAGUAAACUAUACAAGUCAGAGUUAUAAGAACACGAAACCUAACAAAGCAGCAUAAACUUUGCUUAUAUUGUUGAUUUGUUGAUCAUUUAAGACGAAGUCAUUCUACUCGACAUCAGUUGAAAAGAAAAUAAUUUAGUUUAUAUUUCAUAGUACUGUACUGUAUACUAUCUGAGUGUUGACACUUAUUUCUGAAAAUUUGUCUUGGCU